GACGAACGCUGGCGGCGUGCCUAACACAUGCAAGUCGAACGGAAAGGCCCUGCUUUUGUGGGGUGCUCGAGUGGCGCACGGGUGAGUAACACGUGAGUAACCCGCCCUUGACUGUGGGAUAACUCCAGGAAAAUGGGGCUAAUACCGGAUAGGAGCUCCUGCUGCAUGGUGGUGGUUGGAAAGUUUCGGCGGUUGUGGAUGGACUCGCGGCUUAUCAGCUUCUUGGUGGGGUAGUGGCUUACCACGGCUGUGACGGAUAGCCGCCCUGAGAGGGUGACCAGCCUCAGGGGGCCUACGGGACGGCCCAGACUCGUACGUGAGGCAGCAGGGGAGAACAUUGCGCAGUGGGGGGAAGCCUGAUACGGCGGCCCCGCGUGCGGAAAGACGGCUUUCGGGUUGUAAACCGCUUUCUCCUUUGCUGAAGCGUGAGUGACGGUAAUGAAUAAAAAAGCACCGGCUAACUACGUG
rnacentral:rRNA from 1 species